CAGAACCCCAUGAACCCAGCUGUGAGGCUCUGUCACCUUCUCCAGCCACGCCUCCCUAAGGAGCCCUGCUCUUCUGUGCACAUCAGCGAACACCAGCACCACGGCUGGUCCCUCAGGGCAGGGCAUGGAGGCCUCGCCUGCCUCUCCUCACAGGUCUUGGCUCACUGGUAGUAAUGUAAGGAGCCACAAAGAACAGGGUGACCAAGUCAUCCUCGUGGCCUGGGACUUCUCUGGUUUCAGCGCUGGAAGUGCCUCAUACCAAGAAUGCACUCGGUCCCUGCCAACUGGAAAUGAUCUUCCACAAGAAUGAACAAGAGAUGCUCUCAUUUAAAAGAAAAGAAACAGAAAAGGUUAUCAGCUAGUAGAGAGGAAAUUCUGCUCUUAACAUAAUGUAGCUUAAAAGAAAAUGCUGCAUUUUGUCAAAGAGUCAGCGAUGAGCCUCUUAUCACAUAUUUGCUCAUAAAGGCAGAAAGGAAGAAUGCUAGCAUGCCAGUGUCCCAUCGUUAACGGGUGGAGGAGAAGAGCAGGCGGAGGAGGAGAACGAUUUCUAUGGGAUUCUCAAACCACAGAAAAUGGCUGAAACAUUUGGGAUUCUGGAAGGGACAGGCAGAGCGAAUGAGAGCUGUGGAAAUGAUAACCCCUCCAUGGGUCCAGACUUCACUGUCUAAAAGGUCACUCUAGACCCCCAGCUCAGGGUGAUGCCUGCUGCCUUU
rnacentral:lncRNA from 1 species